rnacentral:ncRNA from 1 species
CGAGCCGACGGCCAGUACGGCGACUUCUGGUCGCCGUACUGGCCGAGUUACGCGUGUUCCGUUUGGGAAGGUGUUGCUCCAGCGGGGGUCCGUUGUUGGCCGUCCCACUGAGCCUCAGCCCAUGGACGGCGUGAGAUCGUCUCUUGGGUUAUUUGGAAAACAGCCGAAAGUGGGUGGUCAACUCCAUCCGAGGCUAAAUACUGACACGGGACUGAUCAAAAAGUACCUUUAGGGAAAGUUAAAAAUAACUUUGGAGCGAGAGUUCAACAGGGGGUGAAACCGUUGAGGGUCAACAGGCAUUUCCACUGCGCUGCGACCAGGUCUCAACAGGACCUGUGCAAAGGUGGCUCGCGUCUCCGGCCACAUCAUAAAGGCUCGCUGUGCCCCCUCUCCCUGCCGGGGAGGGACGGGCUCCCGGCGCAACUGUUGACUGGGGCAGCCAGUCCUCGGUGCGCCCGUAAGUCAGCAAGACGGCCGACCCGUCUUAAAACACAG